rnacentral:ncRNA from 1 species
AAUCCGAAAAGGUAAACCCAUCGCAAGGUGGGGGCGCAAAGUUCCAGUCCGGCACAUGCUUCAAAAGAAUGCUCUGAGUAAAGUCGAAUGAAAUUGAGCAGAGGAGUUCGAACUUACUGCAGAAAUACUUGAGAAAAUCAUGUGACGGAGGCUGAACUGCCGAU